UCAGAAUGAUAGCUGUUAAUAGAUUCCCCUUAUUUCUUCUGCUGUUAUGGAUACGUUCAUCAGAAUGUAACAACGGGAAAUACAUAUUUCUCCUACCUAAAGCUGUAAGACCGGGUGUGGAUUAUAUUUUUUCUGCCCAAAACCUGGGAACAGAAUCAAUUCAGAUAACAUCAACAUUGGAGGACCAGGAUGGCGUCGCAUGGGCUUCACAAAACGAUGUUUUAGCGACAAGGAAAAGGAUACUGCUUAGAGUAAGUGUUAAUAUACUUAUCAUUCACCUAAUUUCUUAUGCGGAUGCUACGUGAGGGCACUAUAGAGAUUCAUUUUUGAAUAUAGGUAUCAAAUUGUCUUCAAGCCUUUUUACCUUUCGCUAACGUAGAAUUCAUUACUGCUCAAUAAAAUAUCUAACUGCUUGCUACUCAGUUGACAAUAUUAAAUCCAUUUUAUUUUUGAUCGAUCAAAUUAUCCUAAGCAUGUUACAUACCAAUGACAGUAUUCAGUUGUCAUUCUGAGAUCCAUAAUUCAGCUGCCAUUCUGAGAACCAUAAUUCGCGGUCAGCUGUGGCAGUCAAUUUUAUUUUUAGUAACACGGCUUGACCAAUCAAAAAUAAGGGCUUCCCCCACGCGAUGUCAUUGACCUCAUUUCGUGUUACUUCCGGUCCCACGAAGAUGAUGAUCGCCAAGUGAUAUAGCGCUUUAAGUUUGAUUUGUAAUUUAUAAGGCUGUAAAAUGACCAAUUUAAUUACAUCGGUAGCUGAAUAAUGAACAAAAAUGAUCGUUGGCAAUAAAACCGACGGGACGUUUUGGAACUAGUGAGUAUUGUGAGAUGAUAGCAGACGAAAUGUCUUGAACGCGUGAAAACAACAUGGCGGGUGAGUAACUUUGUAUAAUCAAGUUUUAUUUUAAUCUCUUCAAGUGCCUGUGGUAUUGAUAUAAGAUCAUCACUGUAUCCGUAAGCUUAGGUCGCAAGGGCUAAUUGACCAAAUAUUUAA